rnacentral:rRNA from 1 species
AUUGAACGCUGGCGGCAUGCCUUACACAUGCAAGUCUAACGGUAACGGGCCUUCGGGUGCCGACGAGUGGCGAACGGGUGAGUAAUACAUCGGAACGUGCCCGAUCGUGGGGGAUAACGAGGCGAAAGCUUUGCUAAUACCGCAUACGAUCUACGGAUGAAAGCAGGGGACCGCAAGGCCUUGCGCGGACGGAGCGGCCGAUGGCAGAUUAGGUAGUUGGUGGGAUAAAAGCUUACCAAGCCGACGAUCUGUAGCUGGUCUGAGAGGAUGAUCAGCCACACUGGGACUGAGACACGGCCCAGACUCCUACGGGAGGCAGCGGUGGGGAAUUUUGGACAAUGGGCGCAAGCCUGAUCCAGCCAUGCCGCGUGCAGGAUGAAGGCCUUCGGGUUGUAAACUGCUUUUGUACGGAACGAAAAGCCUUCUUUUAAUACAGGAGGGUCAUGACGGUACCGUAAGAAUAAGCACCGGCUAACUACGUG